UACGGGGGGAGCAAGCGUUGUUCGGAUUUACUGGGCGUAAAGGGCGCGUAGGCGGCCACCGCAAGUCGACUGUGAAAUCUCCGGGCUUAACCCGGAAAGGUCAGCCGAUACUGCGGGGCUAGAGUGCAGAAGGGGCAACUGGAAUUCACGGUGUAGCAGUGAAAUGCGUAGAUAUCGUGAGGAAGACCAGUGGCGAAGGCGGGUCUCUGGACAGUUCCUGACACUGAGGCACGAAGGCCAGGGGAGCAAACGGG
rnacentral:rRNA from 1 species